GUGAGAGCUUUGAGUCGACUUCUCAGAAGCCUCCCGAAGAAGAGCUAGCGCCGCGAGGUGACUCGGUCUGGUAGGGAAAUGGCAAGUGGAGGAGCUGGUUGAAGUGCUCGUCGGUCGGGCAUUCAAAGCCCUCCAAAUCUGGCCCCACUUUAGCUAUCCAAUCACAGCCGCCUCCAUCCCCCCCGCAAGAACUCCCAGCUCCAAUCAGGGAAGUCUCCAUGCCAUCCUCAGCGCGCAGCAGACUCAUUCUUCCUUGGUGCCUUUGCCCAGGCUGUUCCCCACCCCCUUGCCAGGGGUGCCCUCCCUGCUUUAUAUUCCCAAUUCAGCCCAGGCUGUGAGACGCAGCUCAAGUCGUAGCUUGUCAGGGUCCCUGGCAGCCAAGGCCCCUCCUGUUUCUCAAAGAAACACAUGUAAUACAACAACAUGGAGGCUCAAGCUUCAGCCAAGAGCUCUUCCUUUGCAGCCAUCUAUACCCACCCUAGCCAGAGACUGCCCACCGCUCGCCCUCUUCCCCAUUCGUACUUAGAGAGCUUUGCUGGCCGAGAGCCAGCCUGCCCCCAACAAGUCCGUCUUCCUCUAAGAGUAGGAUUGGCUUUUCUAGGUGGGGCUGGUCAGAAAGGCCAAGUGCCUGGGUGUAGAAGACAACAGCCAAAGCCUCUGGCACCAAAUGGAACAGCUGCACAGCUCUCACUGACCUUUUUCUGGGCCUGUGGCUGUAAAGAGCCUUCCAGCUCUUAACUUUUCCGACCGUGUUUCUAUCAGACUUCUACCUGUCCGAUUUUCUGGCCACUUUCCUGGGUGGACUUUGAGCUAGGAGGCUCUGCCACCUUUCAGAUUUCUAGUGGGUGGGGAAUCUGAUUGGCUUGGGUUGCGUGGUCUUUUGAGUGUUGUUCCUUGCUUUGGCUUGAAACUCUCUUGCUUUUGUCCAUGUGACCUCAGGCCCGGUUCACAGACUCCAUGCCCAGACUCACCCUGAAUGUUUGUACCUGGUGGGGUGGGGGGAGGACACUUGUGUGCAAAACACAGUUUCUUCACGAGAAUCCAGUCUGUUCCAAACCAGUGCAUGGACUGCAUCGCACAAGUGAGCCCCCUUUUUCACAACCUGAGGACACAGUGGCUUUAGGCUAAGAGAGAAUGGCUUCGAAUUGCCACAACCUGAAGGGGAGAUUCAUCAAGGAAAGGUAACAUACCUGCUAAAGACCUUAAGAAAAGGGAAGUUGAGAACCAAGAAGUCUUUAAAAUAACUUCACUACCGGGUGUCACACAGGCUGGCUUCCCGAGUGCAACUUUAGAGUUUUUAAUAGGUUCCAUAAAGAGCUACGUAAC
rnacentral:lncRNA from 1 species